rnacentral:rRNA from 1 species
AAGUCGAACGAUGAAGCGGUGCUUGCACCGUGGAUUAGUGGCGAACGGGUGAGUAAUACGUGAGUGACCUACCUUUGACUCUGGGAUAAGCCUGGGAAACUGGGUCUAAUACCGGAUACGACCAAUCUCUGCAUGGGGUGUUGGUGGAAAGCGUUAUGGAGUGGUUUUAGAUGGGCUCACGGCCUAUCAGCUUGUUGGUGAGGUAAUGGCUUACCAAGGCGACGACGGGUAGCCGGCCUGAGAGGGUGACCGGCCACACUGGGACUGAGACACGGCCCAGACUCCUACGGGAGGCAGCAGUGGGGAAUAUUGCACAAUGGGCGCAAGCCUGAUGCAGCGACGCCGCGUGAGGGAUGACGGCCUUCGGGUUGUAAACCUCUGUUAGCAUCUAAGAAGCGAAAGUGACGGKAGGUGCAGAGAAAGCGCCGGCUAACUACGUGCCA